UGUCCCUGAGCACAGAGAUCCCACGUUCUGCCCUCCUCUGCCCAUAAAUGGACACCCUGUGUGGGGUCUGAAGGCGUGUUCAUCUUUGCUUGGUAAGUUACAGCUCCAACCCCAGCUACUCAUGCUGCCCUCGUGCCUUUCAGGUUGUGUUUGUGGCAUUAGGUCAUCUGUUGAGAAUAAUAUGGUCAAGCAUGCUUCACUACUGAUGUCAGCCACAGUGGUCAGCACUGAGGUCGGUCAGUGGAUCCAAUCUGCACUUUACACUGACGUCCGCCUGCAGUUAUCUGGAGGACAAAAGACCUUUCAAACAGCCCCCCAUUGAUGCCUGGCUUCAGCAGUCCUGACAUGGGAAAGAAGAGGUGAGCCCUGGCAGGCGGCUGUGUUGUGGGCGUGUUGACUUAAUUAGAAGCCUGAUGGAGGCACAGAGAUCGGGCCUGUGCUUGUGUAGGACACUUUCAUCGUCCACAGGAAGACAGAUAGAUAUAUUAUACAGCUGGGCGCAGUUGCCACACUAGUAAUCGCAGCAACUCAGGAGGCUGAGGCAGGAGGAUCACAAGUUCAAAGCCAGCCUCAGCAACUUUACAAGAACCUAAGCAACUUAGUGAGACUCUGUAUCAAAAUAAAAAUAUAAAAAGGACUGGGAAUGUGGCUCAGUGGUUAAUGCUCCUGAGUUCAAUCCCUGGUACAAGAAAGAAAGAAAGAAGGCAGGCAGGAAGGAUGGAAGGAGGAAGAGGAAAGAAAGAAAAGAUAUAUCGUGCAUAAUACAACAUAGUAUAUAAUAUAUAUAACAUUAAAAUCACAGUCUAGACUACGAUUCAGAAUAAUGCCUGAUAAGAUUCUAAUUGAUAAAAUUUACUGACAAUUUUUUUCUAGAUAAAAAGAUUUAAGAACCCACCUGGAUUUUUUAUUUUCCUAUUUCAUGUAUCUUUGUCUUAAUUUGACUUUUCAGACUAUUUUACAAAAUCUUUGGAAAUUUGCCAUUGAUGAAAACACUAGUGCUGCAUAAACCCCUAAGCGUUUAAGAAAUGAGUAACCAAUGUGUGGAAUUACACAGACAGAACCAUCAGCUACUGUGACAGAAUCCAAAUGCAACCAGAGAGAACUAUAUCAGAACUAUAUUAGACCCGAGAAAGACCGGAGAGAACAGCUGGGACGAGGCUCGCAGUUUGGGCUUUGUAGUAAAGCAGGAUUGGGCCGGUCCUCUGGGACCAGUGUCCUGGGUGCCCUGUCAAGUCCGAUGCUCAGGAAGCCUGAGUCCACCAGGUGUGACUGUUGGCCAGGCUCAGAUACCCAGGUGUGCUGCCGGCUCUGGCUUCUCUUGGUUUUAUGCGAAGGCUGAUGUGGAAAGGUAAACCCCACAGAGGAAGACUCCCGAAACUGUCCACGGACUCCUCUUCUGUCCCUCCAGCAUUUCACCUUUGACCCCAGUAGCACCUGCUAGAUGCCAGCAGCUGCGGCUGAGAACCCUUUGCAAAUGUGCAGGGGCUUCUGUGGAUCUGUCAUUCAACACUGCCACACAGCCUGGCCCGGGCACUAGUGCCAUCUUGGGGAUCCUGACGGUGGCCAUCCUUCGACACAGCAAGGACACGAUGAGGAGGAGGGGCCACCUGAGAGCCCUUGUUGUGGGUGUGUGGCGUAUUUGCUCCAUGGACACAAUUUGACCCCAGCUCAGAGGGGAUCGUGCUGGACUUGGUGCAGUCGUGGUGGCAGGGGAGCCGUCUACCUUUUAGCAGCCAUCCUGCACCCUGGCACUCGCACUGGCCUGGGCAGCGCCCUGAGGCUGUUCCUCCCUCACGGCUCUGGCCUCUCCCCGCGAGGCCCUGGUGGGGUUCCCAUCUAGUGUCUAGAGGGCCCUGGCUUGGCUGGCCCUGGCUCCUGCUCAUCCUCCUCCUGGGGCCGAGUGUCUCUGGCGUGUGACGAUACUGCAAGACGACAUCCUGCCUCGCCGGGGAGGAGGAAGGGGUCUGGAGACACCUGCUCCUUGCAUUUUCGCGGAGGGUGGUCCCGCCCACUGGGCUCAUUUUGUUUCAUGAUCAAGAUGAAAACGGUUGCACACUUUAUCUGAGAUCACGCAGAGGGCUGCCUCCGUGUCUCUGGAGGCUUCAGGGCGUAGUCCCCAGGAUGCUCACGUGUCCCUUCUCCAUCCUCAGAGGGAGAGCACUGCCACCUCCAGAGGCAGGCCGCUGUGACGUCCCACGAGAGCCGCGAGCCGUGGAGGAAAGGGGGUGGGAGGGUUUCCUCAGGCGACAGCCCUGGUCACCCCACACCAUCUGAGCGCUUGGGACUGGCGCUCACCCGCAACGGGAGGGUCACCAGACGGUGGGUGGCCAGGGUCCCCUUGGCGGAGCAGUGGUUUGAGGGUUCUGCCCUCUAGGGAAUGAUAGUGUUUCCCCUUUACAUUUCCCGGGAACAAUAGUUACAUUGUAAAGAAGUAGAAAGGCCUGAGCCUGAGCCGGCAGGAGAACCCAGGUUUGGUGAGAGCGCAGCAGAGGGGCUGAUUUAGGCAGGACUUCCAGGAAAUAAUGAAACAAGUUAUCCACAGUCCAGUUUCAAGGUGAGCAAUUUGUCGCAGACUCAAGCCAUGGUCUGAGUUCUGCCUUAUUGACCAGAAAAACUGUAUGAACAAUUUCAAAUAAACAACCUGAAGCAGGAAGCACAAAGAUACAAUUUAAAGAAGCCUGGAUUUUGGAAUUUUGUAUUAGUACCAAUUUGGUUCUGGUAGCUUGUUCAGAAUUAUUCUCCUUUUAUUCUACUCUAACUCCAUAUCACAGUAAAACACGAGAACAAACUUCAGUCCAGGACAGUGAUGGCGGUUUUACAUCACAGAAAACAGAAAACCAACUAGACCACAGGACCUCAGCUGUCACCAGGCCGUAUGGGUGCAGGAGGACGCUUGCUGGGGGUCAUGCCACACAGCCACACAGCCUGGCCCAGGGCACUAGUGCCACCUUGGGAUCCUAACAGUGGUCAUCCUUAAGACUCAGGGAGGACACGGCGAGGAGGAGGGCCACCUGAGAGUCCCAGGUCAUGGUAGGUGCCAAGGAGGACGCCGCUCACGGUCACCAGUGCCCCUGCGCCUCAGCCCCAGGCCUCGGCUGGCUGUGGUGAAGGGCUGCGUCCCGUGCCACUGGCGGGACGGCUGGCAGGCCAAGUGCCACAGCGUGUCAGGGUGGCUCGCCUCGGCCCUUGCAGAUCUGGGUACUCUGCUGAGCCUGGGACUGGUGCUGGCUCUGCUCAUGGGCAGAAUGGAAUUCCCCUCACAGCCAUCAAAAUGCAAAGCCAGAGGCACUCGCAGAGCUUUACCAAGACGAGGUGGAACCCACUGGGAAUGCCUCCCGUCUAACUAUGGAAAAAGUGUCCCCAGCCAGUGUUUGGGGACUACAGGGACUUUUUCUGUCUUCCUCAGAAACUACAAGCAAUCGUGGGUCUCGCACACAGGAUGUUAGUGAGUCAGUAUGACGUGGAGGCUGGCUGCGGGGCCAGACGAGCGCACAGACAGGAAUUCUCAGGGAACCGCAGCUCUUGGGGAAAGGGGGCAGAAGGAGGACCGGGCGUGCCGGUGGAUGUGCCUGGAGACCAGCUGGUGCAAGGCCCGUCCAAGCAGGAGAGAAGGGCCAGGCCACAGCCAGCGAGCAGGACGGGCCUCAGCUGCUGCUCGCCUCAGCCCCCUGCAGUUGCUCAUCUGAAAAUAGCUCUGCGCCCAAGGGGGGACUGCACAGGCCGCAGCCCGGGGCUCAGGAGCCCCAGGACGCCGGCACAUCAGAGUUAGUGUGAGCUGCUAGUGCCGCGGACGCGCAUCGGUACCGUUUCCGUGGACUUCCCUCAUGAUGGCGGACGCCUGCUGCCUCCUCUGCUUCACCAGGGCACUGUGUGACAGCAUGGAGCAGGUCCCUGUAGGCAGAGUGGGGCGUCACUGAGGCAGCCGCCCUCCCAGAGAGCUGCCCCAUUCUAGCACUGCUGCUCUCUGUUGGAGGACCUGGCUGUGCAUCCCUGUCGGGUGACAUCUGGUGACAGGAGUGUCGGGCCAGUCCUUCCUGUGCACUCACACAAUGUCCCCCAGCAGUGAGGGAGGAGACCUGCCCGUCCAGGGUUAUUUUUAACCCACCAUUGUCUCCUUGGCCUUCGAGUGUACCCACGUCUGGUCCGUCCAUCCCAGACAAGGGAGAGAGAGGAGGGCACCAGAACAAAGAGGCCCCCGGUCAGCGCCUGACCGCUGGCCCGCACAGCUGCCCCUCAGCCAGAGUGCGCUGCUGCACCCUGCCCUGAGCCUCCUGGACAGGGACCGGCAGCCCUCGGGGAGCGACGUACUCACCUUGCUGCUGGACGCUGGACGGGGCCUGGGAGCAAGGGCGAUCCUGGGGGAGACCUGGAGAUGGAGAAGAUGGCGGAGAUGGCGCUUGGGCCUGAUGGGUUUUAUCCUUGAACCUGGGACGGCAUGGUCCCCAGCUCUGACUCGAGCGGGACUGAGCCUCUCUAAGGAGACUGGCAUCCCACUGACCUCAUGGACUAUAUAUAGCACCAAAUACUUCAGCUACUCAUAUCUUCCUGGCAGAAGAAAGGAACAGGGGAACAUUAGCUUCUCUCCAUUGUUCCAGCUUGUGAGAUGUGAAGGAGGGUGCAUCCACGGACCCGCAGAGCCCCUAUCCCUCACCUUCUGUUGGAAGAGACCGCAGCCAAAGGGGACUUGAAAGACUUUCUACAGUGUGGUCCUUACGCUGUACCUCAGUCGAGGUGGCAAGAGACGUACCCGUGAAUUAGAACAGAGUGGUGGGUCACUCAUAACUAAAAUGAACACUAUGGACAGGGACAUCUCUGGAGACCUGUGGGCACCCACAGAGCUGGCCCUGAGUCAAGAGUGAACGUGGACGCUCAGUCCACAGAAGGCUUCACUCUUGAGGGUACGGGGGGGCAUUGUUAGGGACACGUGGCUGAGCAGGAGCCAAGCCUCAGAGAUCAGGUGCUGCACCGUGGACCUCAGGUCCAGGGCUUCCGCAGACGGAGGACAUGGGGCUGGGAGGUGGGCCACAUCAGCCCCUGGCUCUGGCACAGAGCGUGCUCCCUUCUGGACUUCCGUUAACGGUUUCCCUGCUCUGGGAACUUGCCUCGCUCCUCAGGCCAGGGACACUGCUCAAAGGCGAGGCCGUCACAAACCCUCCACAGUCUCCUGAACACAGUGCCACAUGGAGUCCUUCCACCUUCUCUGCUUCACAGCCCUUUCGGUUGUUUUGUUAGUCAAGAGGAGUGACUGAAAAUCCCAGACAGAAACUUAACAGAAGCCUUACUCUCCUGGUAAGGCUGGGCUGGAGGUGAGGAAACCGGGGUCACCUGCUAACCUCUGCUCUACCUUCCAGAAGUGUGGGCCCCAGAGCCUCGUUGUCUGCCGCUGCUCCUCAGCCUGCUCAGAGCUCAGGCAGCAGGAAAGCGCCUGUCUCCCCAGCACACAUCUUGAUGCUGGGCAAGGUCGUCUGUAUCCUGAUGGGCAAAGGCAGUCGUGCAGGCACAGGUGGCUCAAGAGGCUGAGUCGGGCUGUGCUCUGACUCUGAGGAGGAAGAUGGUGGCCAUUGGGUGAACACCCCAGUCUCUCCAAGUAUGUUGACCGGAGUCUGCUUGUCCAUCAUCCCUCCACCUUUCUGUGCACCCAUGUAAUGUCUUUUUCCUGGUAAGAUAGGGAGUCCCUGUGUCUUGGCUUCUCCAGUCCCUAGACUUGUGUCAGGCAUGAGGUUGUGCUCAGGGGCCAGUGUACGAUGGCAGGGCUGGGGUAGGUCGUGCAGUACAUAGAAGGUUGGGUGGCUUUGGGUCCUCUUCUAGACACCAUAGACACAUGGGAGAUGUGGCAGUGAGGUGAAUGAACAGGGAUGAGGUCAGGCAGGGGAGUGAGGCUGGAAUAGGCUGUGUGUUCUUAGGCUGGCCGCAGGCCUCAGAGUGUGUCCUUGGGUUGGAUGUAGGAUGCAGAGGGCAGGCUUAGAGUGCAGGUUGCAGAGGGCAGGCUUAGAGUGCAGGCUGCAGAGGGCAGGCUUAGAGUGCAGCAUGCAGAGAGCAGGAUUAGAGUGCAGGCUGGAGAGGGCAGGAUUAGAGUGCAGGCUGCAGAGGGCGGGCUUAGAGUGUAGGCUGCAGAGGGCAGGAUUAGAGUGCAGGCUGAGGAAGCAGGGUUAAAGUGCAGGCUGCAGAGGGCAGGCUUAGAGUGUAGGCUGCAGAGGGCAGCAUUAGAGUGCAGGCUGCAGAGGGCAGACUUAGAGUAUAGGCUGCAGAGGGCAGGAUUAGAGUGCAGGUGCAGAGGGCAGGAUUAGAGUGCAGGUGUAGAAGUCAGGGUUAGAGUGCAGGUGCAGUGGGUAGGGUUAGAGUGCAGGCUGCAGAGGGCAGGCUUAGAGUGGAGGUGCAGAGGGCAGCAUUAGAGUGCAGGUGCAGAGGGUAGGGUUAGAGUGCAGGUGCAGAGGGCAGGAUUAGAGUGCAGGCUGUAGAGGGCAGGAUUAGAGUGCAGGUGCAGAGGGCAGGAUUAGAGUGCAGGCUGCAGAGGGCAGGAUUAGAGUGCAGGCUGAGGAAGCAGGGUUAAAGUGCAGGCUGCAGAGGGCAGGCUUAGAGUGUAGGCUGCAGAGGGCAGCAUUAGAGUGCAGGCUGCAGAGGGCAGGAUUAGAGUGCAGGUGUAGAAGUCAGGGUUAGAGUGCAGGUGCAGUGGGUAGGGUUAGAGUGCAGGCUGCAGAGGGCAGGCUUAGAGUGGAGGUGCAGAGGGCAGCAUUAGAGUGCACGUGCAGAGGGUAGGGUUAGAGUGCAGGUGCAGAGGGUAGGGUUAGAGUGCAGGCUUAAGAGGGCAGGAUUAGAGUGUAGGUGCAGAGGGCAGGAUUAGAGU